ensembl:snoRNA SNORD12 small nucleolar RNA, C/D box 12
GCCGGUGCAGCUGAUGACACAACUUUUUUCCCCAUCAGAUCGACCCUGUUGAUCUAACUAAACCUGUAAGCCAGUUUUAUCUGAUGCAUCGAC